rnacentral:rRNA from 1 species
UUAGGGGAAUCUUCCGCAAUGGGACGAAAGUCUGACGGAGCAACGCCGCGUGAGUGAUGAAGGUUUUCGGAUCGUAAAGCUCUGUUGUUAGGGAAGAACAAGUGCGAGAGUAACUGCUCGCACCUUGACGGUACCUAACCAGAAAGCCACGGCUAACUACGUGCCAGCAGCCGCGGUAAUACGUAGGUGGCAAGCGUUGUCCGGAAUUAUUGGGCGUAAAGGGCUCGCAGGCGGUUUCUUAAGUCUGAUGUGAAAGCCCCCGGCUCAACCGGGGAGGGUCAUUGGAAACUGGGAAACUUGAGUGCAGAAGAGGAGAGUGGAAUUCCACGUGUAGCGGUGAAAUGCGUAGAGAUGUGGAGGAACACCAGUGGCGAAGGCGACUCUCUGGUCUGUAACUGAC